UAGGGAAUCUUCCGCAAUGGGCGAAAGCCUGACGGAGCAACGCCGCGUGAGUGAUGAAGGUCUUCGGAUCGUAAAACUCUGUUAUUAGGGAAGAACAAAUGUGUAAGUAACUAUGCACGUCUUGACGGUACCUAAUCAGAAAGCCACGGCUAACUACGUGCCAGCAGCCGCGGUAAUACGUAGGUGGCAAGCGUUAUCCGGAAUUAUUGGGCGUAAAGCGCGCGUAGGCGGUUUUUUAAGUCUGAUGGGAAAGCCCACGGCUCAACCGUGGAGGGUCAUUGGAAAAUGGAAAACUUGAGUGCAGAAGAGGAAAGUGGAAAUCCAUGUGUAGCGGUGAAAUGCGCAGAGAUAUGGAGGAACACCAGUGGCGAAGGCGACUUUCUGGUCUGUAACUGACGCUGAUGUGCGAAAGCGUGGGGAUCAAACAGG
rnacentral:rRNA from 1 species